AUUUCAUUCCGUGAGCACUGUAGAUAUUGCCGACGCAGGUAUCUGUUCUUAUCAGCUUAAUAUGUGAUACAGGUUGUAUUUAGACCCAAGAUAUUAAACUUAUCUUUGGAAGUAGACAGAGUGCUUGAAGCCUGCUUCACCUCUGCCACGAGUAGGCACGGUAUUGCACAAUCUUCAGGAUCGGCCCACAGUUU